AUAACCUCUGUUUUCCUCUCUCAGCCCAAGAAGAAGAACAUGACAGCGUACCAGGUGUUCUGUAAGGAGUACAGAGUCAACAUUAAUGCAGAACAGCCGGGACUAGUCUUUGGUGAGCUAAGCAAAAAGCUGGCGGAGGUGUGGAAGGCGAUGCCAGAGAAAGACAAGCUGGUGUGGAAGCAGUCAGAAGAGGCUUAACAGA